UACAGAGGGUGCGAGCGUUAAUCGGAAUGACUGGGCGUAAAGGGCGCGUAGGCGGCUCGUGAAGUCGGGUGUGAAAGCCCGGGGCUCAACCCCGGAACGGCAUCCGAUACUGGCGGGCUUGAGACCGGGAGAGGAGGGUGGAAUACCCAGUGUAGAGGUGGAAAUUCGUAGAUAUUGGGUGGAACACCGGUGGCGAAAGCGGCUCUCUGGCCCGGAUCUGACGCUGAGGCGCGAAAGCGUGGGGAGCAAACAGG
rnacentral:rRNA from 1 species